AGAGUUUGAUCCUGGCUCAGGAUGAACGCUGGCGGCGUGCUUAACACAUGCAAGUCGAACGGAAAGGCCUCUGCUUGCAGAGGUACUCGAGUGGCGAACGGGUGAGUAACACGUGGGUGAUCUGCCCUGCACUUCGGGAUAAGCCUGGGAAACUGGGUCUAAUACCGGAUAGGACGAUGGUUUGGAUGCCAUUGUGGAAAGUUUUUUCGGUGUGGGAUGAGCUCGCGGCCUAUCAGCUUGUUGGUGGGGUAAUGGCCUACCAAGGCGUCGACGGGUAGCCGGCCUGAGAGGGUGUACGGCCACAUUGGGACUGAGAUACGGCCCAGACUCCUACGGGAGGCA
rnacentral:rRNA from 1 species